rnacentral:rRNA from 1 species
GACGAACGCUGGCGGCGUGCCUAAUACAUGCAAGUAGAACGCAGUUGCGAACGGGUGAGUAACGCGUAGGUAACUGCCUGGUAGCGGGGGAUAACUAUUGGAAACGCUAGCUAAUACCGCAUACUACCAGAUGGACCUGCGUUGUAUUAGCUAGUUGGUGGGGGAACGGGUCACCAAGGCAAAGAUACAUAGCCGUUCGGAGAGGUGGUCGGCCCACAGUGGAACUGGAAAAGGCCCAGACUCCUACGGGGGGCAACAGUAGGGAAACUUCGGAAAAUGGGGGAACCCUGACCGAGCAACGCCGGGUGAGUGAAGAAGGUUUUCGGAUCGGAAAGCCAUGUUGUGAAGGAAGCGGUACUUAACCAGAAAGCGACGGCUAACUACGUGCCAGCAGCCGCGGUAAUAC